GCGGCGGCCACGAAUUGGGCUAUUAUUCCCGAUCUAACCGUUAGCUCAUUCAAUCGAUUCACCUAUAGAUCGGAGGUCCAAGCGGCGCGUGAGGAUUGAAGAUUGAGUGCCGUUUCCGUUGACAUUCUUCGCUUCUUUUUCCCACACAUCAUCCAGGACAAAGCAAAAUCUUUUGGUAUAGUUUUUUGUUUGACUAUGGAUCCAGGUGUUUAGAUCUUCUAAAAUUAGUUUCUAUAGUGUUUUUUUUUUUCAAAUUUUAUUUUAUGUGUUUAUCAGUUGUUAUUCGCAGAAUUAAGUUAAUAAUUGAAGUGAGAUAGUUGAAACAAGAGGUUAUAAUAGAUGUUGCCUACUAUCGAA